GACGAACGCUGGCGGCGUGCCUAACAGAUGCAAGUCGAACGGUGAAAGCGGAGCUUGCUCCGCUGGAUCAGUGGCGAACGGGUGAGUAACACGUGGGCAACCUGCCCCAGACUUCGGGAUAACUCCUCGAAAGAGGUGCUAAUACCGGAUACGAAGCCCCCAGGCAUCUGGGGGUUUGGAAAGUUUUUCGGUCUGGGAUGGGCCCGCGGCCUAUCAGCUUGUUGGUGAGGUAACGGCUCACCAAGGCGACGACGGGUAGCCGGCCUGAGAGGGCGACCGGCCACACUGGGACUGAGACACGGCCCAGACUCCUACGGGAGGCAGCAGUGGGGAAUAUUGCGCAAUGGGCGAAAGCCUGACGCAGCAACGCCGCGUGAGGGAUGACGGCCUUCGGGUUGUAAACCUCUUUCAGCAGGGAAGAAGCGAAAGUGACGGUACCUGCAGAAGAAGCACCGGCUAACUACGUGCCAGCAGCCGCAGUAA
rnacentral:rRNA from 1 species